rnacentral:lncRNA from 1 species
CACAGCUCCAGAUCCAGUGCUCUGGUCUUUCCAGGCCAUCCAUGACCAAUCUCGAACCGGUCUGAGCUUCUGGGAUCAGAAACACCUCUUCUGCUCCCCCCACCCCCCAACCCAGAGGAGCCAGGAUUGACAUUUUAGAGAAACUGUGAGAAAGGGUGUCUUACUUCCAUUCUAUUGGUGAUCUGAUGAUAGGAAUCUGCAAGAGUGGAGGUUGUUUAUGUGAUAAUACCUGUAAGAAUAAAAAUAUACUGCUCCUACCUUCCCUAGGGCCUGUCUUUUAAAAUUUUUGGCUGUCAUGUUUUUAAUUAAUUUAUUUUUAGCCACACCAGAAGCGUGUGGAAGUUUCCGGGCCAGGCAUCAAACCCGUGCCACAGGAGCAAUCAGAGCCACAGCAGUGACGACAAUACCAGAUCCUUAACCUGCUGCACCACCAGGGAACUCCCUGAGAAUUUUUUUUUUUAAUGUCUGCACCUAAGGCAUAUGGAAGUUCCCAUGCUAGGGGUCAAAUUGCGGAGCCGCAGCUGCCAGCCUACGCCACAGCCACACCAGAUCCAAGCUGAAUCUGCGACCCCUACCAUCGCAGCUUGUGGCAACGUCUGAUCCUUAACUUGCUGAGCAAGGCCAGGAAUCGAAUCUGCAUCCUCAUGGAUACUAGUUGGAUUCUUAACCCCUGCACCACAGUGGGAACUCUGAGAAUGUAUUAGUCCUGCUGAUUUUGGACCUUCAUUCUGUCCUUGCUCCGAAUUGAUUGGGGGGGAGGGACUAAGACUUUGAGUCUAUGUGUCUUGCUCAAGGUCACUCAGCCAAGAGCUGGUGAAGGCAGGAUUUGAACCCAAGUCUGUUUCUGGGACUGGAGCUCACUUGAGGUUCUCUGCAAUCAGCACUUUCCUCUCCCCUCCAUGGUCAGCCCUGUCUGCAUGGCCCCACUCGUUGGGUCCUUCUCUCUGGGGCCUGUGCUCACUUGGUCUCCUUUCUUAAGAUCUGAAAGGUAGACUGGGGAGGGGUCGGGGCGGGGGGGCCGCACUCAGCAGUUGUCUAGGUUAAUAAAAACCCUUGAUCUUUUUUGGGGUGGCCUGGGGUGGGGGGGAGUUGCAGCUGUUGUAAGAAAACACUUGCUAAAGGAGGCAGUGGAACAGCUGAGCUGCGUGGUGCCCUGAGAGCAGUGAAGGUUGCAGGCACACACAGUAGGAAUUCACAAACAUUUCUAGAAUGGGCGGUCACACACAAGGCUUCUGUUCGGAUGUUCGGUGGCUCAGAGCAGGUACUAUAGGCUGUUCAGGGCGUCGAAUGCAUACAUGUGUGUAAGAGUAGGCGUGUGCACACGUGUGCAGGGGGGCAGGUCUGAGUGAGACAAGGCUUCUUGGGUGAAGGGCUGGCCUCAUGGGUCUGGGCACUUGAGAAAGGCUGGCGCGCUCACCUUUCCCCCAGGAGCUGGGAGAUUACAUCUGGCCCUGAGUCACUGCUCCCUGGAGGAAGUUAAUUAAUGCCUAAAUAUUUACUGAGUGUCUGCGGGGACAGUGUGGAGCAGGGCACAGAACCUAUCAGGACCUGGGCUCCUGUCAAUUUCUAGGUGGUGUCAGCCUCACCUUGGAGUCGUGAACACCUUGAAGAGGCUACGCACGCUGGUGGCACCUUUUGGUCACCCAGCUCAGUGGUGGGAGGUAUGCUAGGAAGGUUCCUGGUCUGCAGUGGGACUUGCCUGGUCGGCUUCCAGGGACUGGUUUGGGGAAGAGGAUGCCAAGGCUAAAAGCUUCUUUGAGGGUCUUGUGUUGAGGGCAUGUGGAGGGGGAGAGAAAUUUCAAACUUAUGUAUUCAUUCCUUUGUUUAUUCACCCCAGAGAUAUGUCCAGGACCCUGCUCUGGAAUCGCUGCAAAUGGAUCGGGGACAAGAUGUGAUCCUGCCCUCAGGAGGCCACGAUUCAGAGGGAAGCAGACAGAUAAGCAGACAGGAUGAUACCGAGCUACGAGGAGGCCGAGGCCCAGAGAGGUGAACUGACUGGAAUCUAGGCUGAUUUGUCUCUUUGAACCCUGACACCGGGGGAAGCAGAUGGCAGGAAGAAGGCGGCUUCCAGGACGGAGAGCUGAGGCUGGUGAACAACCUCGUGAACUUGUGAAACGUUGAUGCUGUUCUUAUCCAUCUUUUCAGCCUAAUUUCCUUGGUUUUCAAGGCUCAGGGUUGGGAGGGUGGUUUGCCCCAGCACUGCUGCUGUAGGGACAGCGAUGGUCCCAGCGUGGAGCCUCAUCUCCCUUUGUGCUGCCUCCUUGUGGCAGGGGCUCUCUUCAGGGCCUGGUGUCCUCCUUGGCAGUGAGGAUGUUUUUGUCCCAUUCAUUUCUCAUUCAUUAGAAAAAGGCAUGGGAGUUCCCACUGUGGCUCAGAGGGUUAAGAACCUGACUAGUAUCCAUGAAGAUGUGGGUUGAUCCCUGGCCUCCUUCAGUAGGUUAAGGAUCCAGGAUCACGGUAAGGUGCAGUGUAGAUCUGACGUUGCUGUGGCCGUGGUGCAGGUCAGCAGCUGCAGCUCCAAUUCAACCCCUAGUGGGGGAACUUCCAUAUGCCACAGGUGCACACCUAAAAAGAAAAAAAAAAA